rnacentral:rRNA from 1 species
AUUGAACGCUGGCGGCAGGCUUAACACAUGCAAGUCGAGCGAGCGGCGGACGGGUGAGUAAUGUCUGGGACACUGCCUGAUGGAGGGGGAUAACUACUGGAAACGGUAGCUAAUACCGCAUACCAUCAGAUGUGCCCAGAUGGGCUUAGCUAGUAGUUGGGGUAAUGGCUCACCUGGGCGACGAUCCCUAGCUGGUCUGAGAGGAUAACCAGCCACACUGGAACGGGGACAGGGUCCAGACUCCAACGGGAGGAGGCAGUGGGGAAUAUUGGACAAUGGGCGCAAGCCUGAUGCAGCCCUGCCGCGUGUGUGAAGAAGGCCUUCGGGUUGUAAAGCACUUUCAGCGAGGAGGCGUUACUCGCAGAAGAAGCACCGGCUAACUCCGUGCCAGCAGCCGCGGUAAUUC